rnacentral:rRNA from 1 species
GUCGAGCGGAUGAGAGGAGCUUGCUCCUUGGUUUAGCGGCGGACGGGUGAGUAAUGCCUAGGAAUCUGCCUGGUAGUGGGGGAUAACGUUCCGAAAGGAACGCUAAUACCGCAUACGUCCUACGGGAGAAAGCAGGGGACCUUCGGGCCUUGCGCUAUCAGAUGAGCCUAGGUCGGAUUAGCUAGUUGGUGAGGUAAUGGCUCACCAAGGCGACGAUCCGUAGCUGGUCUGAGAGGAUGAUCAGUCACACUGCAACUGAGACACGGUCCAGACUCCUACGGGAGGCAGCAUUGGGGAAUAUUGGACAAUGGGCGAAAGCCUGAUCCAACCAUGCCGCGUGUGUGAAGAAGGUCUUCGGAUUGUAAAGCACUUUAAAUUGGGAGGAAGGAGCUGAAGAUAAUACCUUGCUGUUUUGACUCUACCCACAGAAUAGACACCAGCUAACUCCCUGCCACCAGCCGCGGUAAUACGAAGGGUGCAAGCGUUAAUCGUAAUUACUGGGCGUAAAGCGCGCGUAGGUGGUUCGUUAAGUUGGAUGUGAAACCCCCGAGGUUCAAUCUGGGAACUGCACUCAACACUGGGAAGCUAUAGUGCGGUAGAUGGUGGUGGCAAUUUACUGUGUCCCGGUGCAAUUGCGUAAAUAUAGGAUAGGAGCAUGAAUGGCGAAGGCAACCACCUGUGACUGACUACUGACGCUGACGUGCGNAAGNCGUGNNGNAGCAANCAGGAUNNNAUACCUCAGCAGUCCACGCCGUAAAGAUGUCAUCUAGCCGCAGUGAUGCCUCGAGAACUUAGUGGCGUAGUUAACGCAUUAAGUUGACUGCCCGGGGAGUACGGCCGCAAGGUCACAACUCAAAUGAAUUGACGAGGGCCUGCACAAGCCAUGGAGCAUGUGGUGUAAUUCGAAGCAACGUGAAGAACCUUACCUGGCCUUGACAUGCUGAGAACUUUCCAGAGAUGGAUUGGUGCCUUCGGGAACUCAGACACAGGUGCUGCAUGGCUGUCGUCAGCUCGUGUCGUGAGAUGUUGGGUUAAGUCCCGUAACGAGCGCAACCCUUGUCCUUAGUUACCAGCAUGUAAUGGUGGGCACUCUAAGGAGACUGCCGGUGACAAACCGGAGGAAGGUGGGGAUGACGUCAAGUCAUCAUGGCCUUUACGGCCAGGGUUACACACGUGGUACAAUGGUCGGUACAAAGGGUUGCCAAGCCUCGAGGCGAAGCUAAUCCCAUAAAACCGAUCGUAGUCCGGAUCGCAGUGUGCAAUUCGACUGCGUGAAGUCGGAAUCGUUAGUAAUCGUGAAUCAGAAUGUCACGGUGAAUACGUUCCCGGGCCUUGUACACACCGCCCGUCACACCAUGGGAGUGGGUUGCUCCAGAAGUAGCUAGUCUAACCUUCGGGGGGACGGUUACCACGGAGUGAUUCAUGACGGGGGUGAAGUCGUA